rnacentral:rRNA from 1 species
UACUUAUUGGUCGCGCUUGGUCCGGAAUUACUGGGCGUAAAGGGCGUGUAGGCGGCUGAGUAAGUCAGGUGUGAAAGGCCACGGCUUAACCGUGGUACUGCACAUGAAACUGCUCAGCUUGAGUGCAGGAGAGGGAAGUGGAAUUCCUAGUGUAGCGGUGAAAUGCGUAGAUAUUAGGAGGAACACCAGUGGCGAAGGCGACUUUCUGGACUGUAACUGACGCUGAGGCGCGAAAGCGUGGGGAGCAAACAGGAUGAGAUAACCCGGUAGUCC